UUUCUCUUCCGAACUCAGCACAGGGCAAGCUGGAACUUUGCACCAGCUCAGCAGAAGAGUGAUGUGUUCAGAGGAGACUGACUCCAAGACACUAAUCUGGGACUAAGGGAGCAGAUUUGACCAGCAAGGCUUCUCAUCAUCAUCAUAUGGCCUGCAGUUCAGGAAGCUUGUCAGGAUUCAUAUGUUCAUACUCGUGAGGAACUUUGAGCGUCUCAGAGAAAAG